AGUGGCGGACGGGUGAGUAACGCGUAAGAAUCUAACUUCAGGACGGGGACAACAGUUGGAAACGACUGCUAAUACCCGAUGUGCCGCAAGGUGAAACCUAAUUGGCCUGGAGAAGAGCUUGCGUCUGAUUAGCUAGUUGGUGGGGUAAAGGCCUACCAAGGCGACGAUCAGUAGCUGGUCUGAGAGGAUGAGCAGCCACACUGGGACUGAGACACGGCCCAGACUCCUACGGGAGGCAGCAGUGGGGAAUUUUCCGCAAUGGGCGAAAGCCUGACGGAGCAACGCCGCGUGAGGGAGGAAGGUCUUUGGAUUGUAAACCUCUUUUCUCAAGGAAGAAGUUCUGACGGUACUUGAGGAAUCAGCCUCGGCUAACUCCGUGCCAGCAGCCGCGGUAAUACGGGGGAGGCAAGCGUUAUCCGGAAUUAUUGGGCGUAAAGCGUCCGCAGGUGGUCAGCCAAGUCUGCCGUCAAAUCAGGUUGCUUAACGACCUAAAGGCGGUGGAAACUGGCAGACUAGAGAGCAGUAGGGGUAGCAGGAAUUCCCAGUGUAGCGGUGGAAUGCGUAGAGAUUGGGAAGAACAUCGGUGGCGAAAGCGUGCUACUGGGCUGUAUCUGACACUCAGGGACGAAAGCUAGGGGAGCGAAAGGGAUUAGAUACCCCUGUAGUCCUAGCCGUAAACGAUGGAUACUAGGCGUGGCUU
rnacentral:rRNA from 1 species